GACGUAGGGCGCAAGCGUUUGUCCGGAUUUAUUGGGCGUAAAGAGCUCGUAGGCGGCUGGUCACGUCGACUGUGAAAACCCGCGGCUCAACCGUGUGGUCUGCAGUCGAUACGGGCUGGGCUGGAGUUCGGUAGGGGAGACUGGAAUUCCUGGUGUAGCGGUGAAAUGCGCAGAUAUCAGGAAGAACACCCGUGGCGAAGGCGGCUCUCUGGGACGGUACUGACGCUGAGACGCGAAAAGCGUGGGGAGCGAACAGG
rnacentral:rRNA from 1 species